AAAUUUGGAAUAUUAAGGGGAGUUUAUUGAAGUGAGUUAUGGAAUUUUUGGAUGAGUUUUGGAUAGGUUUAUGAAUUUCCGAAGUUUGAUUUUUUGGCGGUUAAUUAAUGUAGAAUCCGGCCGUAGGAUUUAAGUCGUAUUUCGGAGAGGUUGUAUUUACGACUGUUGAGUAUGAUCUUUAAGUUCGGAUCGUUCCGAUUUAAGAAUAUCGAAGUUAGGCAAUAAUGAGCGUAAUUAUGGCUCUCGGGUAAUUUUGCCUAUUUUGAUUAAAUAUUGGAUUAUUGGAUGGGAAAUUAAUAUUUUAUUUGGAACAGGUCGUGAGGAGGCUCGAGCAGACGAGACCCCAGAUCGACAUCAGGCUUAGGCCUAAUUUGUGAGUGGACUUUUGUUUUAAAUAAAUGCAUGCUAAGUUCACGAUUGAAUAAUUAAUGUCGUGGAGUAUUUUGCUGUCAAUUAAUUUUGACGCUUUUAUUUCCCUGAGAGAGAGUUACCGAAAAUGGGAUUUUCGGUGAAUAUAAAUAUGUAUAUAUGAGAGAGUAUGUAUAAAAAAAUGCUAGCUAGCCAUAUGUGUCUGUCCACCUUAAUGGCGUAGCAUAUAGCCGCAUUAUGGUGUGACGUGAGCGUUGGACGUAAGCGUAGUAGCCCUAUUUGAGUGUUUAAUUCAGAUAGGGGGUAUGGACACAUAUUUAUACAUCCGUCUGUCCACCUUGAUGGCGUAGUGUAGCACCGCAUUAAGGCGUGACGUGAGCGUUGGACGCGAGCGUAGUAGCCCUAUAUAGACCCAUGAAUUUAUAUAGGGAGUAUGGACGAGUGUAAAUACAUACAUAUAUUAUAGAGUCUGAGAGGCUCGAUAUUUUAUGAGAUAAAAGUUUAUCGCUUGCGGCAUGCAUUCGAUUUUUCCUUAGAAAUUAAUUUGGGGAAACAUAAAUAUUUUAUCUAUUAUUUUAUUUUUGUCCACUCACUCUAACGUUAUUAAAUG
rnacentral:lncRNA from 1 species